rnacentral:rRNA from 1 species
GACGAACCGUCCAAACGUUGUUCGGAAUCACUGGGCUUAAAGGGCGCGUAGGCGGACUGCCAAGUCCGGGGUGAAAUCUUUCGGCUUAACCGGAAAAGGGCCUUGGAAACUGGCGGUCUCGAGGGAGGUAGGGGCCUGUGGAACUUCGGGUGGAGCGGUGAAAUGCGUUGAUAUCGGAAGGAACGCCGGUGGCGAAAGCGACGUGCUGGCCCUCUUCUGACGCUGAGGCGCGAAAGCCAGGGGAGCAAACGGG